rnacentral:rRNA from 1 species
UAGGGAAUCUUCCACAAUGGACGCAAGCCUGAUGGAGCAACGCCGCGUGAGUGAAGAAGGGUUUCGGCUCGUAAAGCUCUGUUGUUAAAGAAGAACGUGGGUAAGAGUAACUGUUUACCCAGUGACGGUAUUUAACCAGAAAGCCACGGCUAACUACGUGCCCG